GGGCGGGACACGUGGUAUCCUGUCUGAAUAUGGGGGGACCAUCCUCCAAGGCUAAAUACUCCUGACUGACCGAUAGUGAACCAGUACCGUGAGGGAAAGGCGAAAAGAACCCCGGCGAGGGGAGUGAAAAAGAACCUGAAACCGUGUACGUACAAGCAGUGGGAGCACAGGUUUACCUGUGUGACUGCGUACCUUUUGUAUAAUGGGUCAGCGACUUAUAUUCUGUAGCAAGGUUAACCGUAUAGGGGAGCCGGAGGGAAACCGAGUCUUAACCGGGCGUUAAGUUGCAGGGUAUAGACCCGAAACCCGGUGAUCUAGCCAUGGGCAGGUUGAAGGUUGGGUAACACUAACUGGAGGACCGAACCGACUAAUGUUGAAAAAUUAGCGGAUGACCUGUGGCUGGGGGUGAAAGGCCAAUCAAACCGGGAGAUAGCUGGUUCUCCCCGAAAGCUAUUUAGGUAGCGCCUCGUGAAUUCAUCUCCGGGGGUAGAGCACUGUUUCGGCUAGGGGGCCAUCCCGGCUUACCAACCCGAUGCAAACUGCGAAUACCGGAGAAUGUUAUCACGGGAGACACACGGCGGGUGCUAACGUCCGUCGUGAAGAGGGAAACAACCCAGACCGCCAGCUAAGGUCCCAAAGUCAUGGUUAAGUGGGAAACGAUGUGGGAAGGCCCAGACAGCCAGGAUGUUGGCUUAGAAGCAGCCAUCAUUUAAAGAAAGCGUAAUAG
rnacentral:rRNA from 1 species